rnacentral:rRNA from 1 species
GAUGAACGCUCGCUGCGUGCUUAACACAUGCAAGUCGAACGAACCUUCGGGUUCGUGGCGGACGGGUGAGUAACGCGUGAGAAUCUGCCCUCAGGAGGGGGAUAACGGUUGGAAACGACCGCUAAUACCCCAUAUGCCUACUGGUGAAAUGAAUUUCGCCUGAGGAUGAGCUCGCGUCUGAUUAGCUAGUUGGUGAGGUAAUGGCUCACCAAGGCUUCGAUCAGUAGCUGGUCUGAGAGGAUGAUCAGCCACACUGGGACUGAGACACGGCCCAGACUCCUACGGGAGGCAGCAGUGGGGAAUUUUCCGCAAUGGGCGAAAGCCUGACGGAGCAACGCCGCGUGAGGGACGAAGGCCUCUGGGCUGUAAACCUCUUUUCUCAAGGAAGAAGAUAUGACGGUACUUGAGGAAUAAGCCACGGCUAAUUCCGUGCCAGCAGCCGCGGUAAUACGGGAGUGGCAAGCGUUAUCCGGAAUUAUUGGGCGUAAAGCGUCCGCAGGCGGCUUUUCAAGUCUGCUGUUAAAGCGUGGAGCUUAACUCCAUCAUGGCAGUGGAAACUGAAAGGCUUGAGUAUGGUAGGGGCAGAGGGAAUUCCCGGUGUAGCGGUGAAAUGCGUAGAUAUCGGGAAGAACACCAGUGGCGAAGGCGCUCUGCUGGGCCAUUACUGACGCUCAUGGACGAAAGCCAGGGGAGCGAAAGGGAUUAGAUACCCCUGUAGUCCUGGCCGUAAACGAUGAACACUAGGUGUCGGGGGAAUCGACCCCUUCGGUGUCGUAGCUAACGCGUUAAGUGUUCCGCCUGGGGAGUACGCACGCAAGUGUGAAACUCAAAGGAAUUGACGGGGGCCCGCACAAGCGGUGGAGUAUAUGGUUUAAUUCGAUGCAACGCGAAGAACCUUACCAGGGUUUGACAUCCUGCGAACCUCUUAGAAAUUUGAGGGUGCCUUCGGGAAUGCAGUGACAGGUGGUGCAUGGCUGUCGUCAGCUCGUGUCGUGAGAUGUUGGGUUAAGUCCCGCAACGAGCGCAACCCACGUUUUUAGUUGCCAGCAUUUAGUUGGGCACUCUAGAAAGACCGCCGGUGAUAAACCGGAGGAAGGUGUGGAUGACGUCAAGUCAUCAUGCCCCUUACACCCUGGGCUACACACGUACUACAAUGCCACGGACAAAGGGCAGCAAACUCGCGAGAGCUAGCAAAUCCCAUAAACCGUGGCUCAGUUCAGAUCGUAGGCUGCAACUCGCCUACGUGAAGUAGGAAUCGCUAGUAAUCGCAGGUCAGCAUACUGCGGUGAAUACGUUCCCGGGCCUUGUACACACCGCCCGUCACACCAUGGAAGUUGGCCAUGCCCGAAGUCGUUACUCCAACCCUUGUGGAGGAGGACGCCGAAGGUGGGGCUAAUGACUGGGGUG